rnacentral:rRNA from 1 species
GACGAACGCUGGCGGCGUGCCUAAUACAUGCAAGUCGAACGAGAGCGACCGGUGCUUGCACUGGUCAAUCUAGUGGCGAACGGGUGAGUAACACGUGGGUAACCUGCCCAUCAGAGGGGGAUAACAUUCGGAAACGGAUGCUAAAACCGCAUAGGUCUUCGAACCGCACGGUUUGAAGAGGAAAAGAGGCGCAAGCUUCUGCUGAUGGAUGGACCCGCGGUGCAUUAGCUAGUUGGUGAGGUAACGGCUCACCAAGGCCGUGAUGCAUAGCCGACCUGAGAGAGUGAUCGGCCACAUUGGGACUGAGACACGGCCAAAACUCCUACGGGAGGCAGCAGUAGGGAAUCUUCCGCAAUGGACGCAAGUCUGACGGAGCAACGCCGCGUGAGUGAAGAAGGUUUUCGGAUCGUAAAACUCUGUUGUUAGAGAAGAAUAAGUGCUAGAGUAACUGUUAGCGCCUUGACGGUAUCUAACCAGAAAGCCACGGCUAACUACGUG